CCUGCCCACUUUCCUUCCCCGCCCACUUAUUUUAACGCAAAUCAGGUGUGUUUUGUUCAAAGACAUUGUCUCUAAAGAAAAGGUAGGAACUAACCUCUAUCUCCCACCCCCAGGGCUCCCCCUGCGGGCAAACUGGCGCCCUUCCCGAUUCUCUGUUCCCUCUCCCCGCGGUUUCUGUGCAGGCGCGAUACUAUCACAAGCUCUGUCCUGUGACCCUGCCCCCCGGGCUUCUCUCCAUGCUGCCCUGCAGCCUGAAAACGAUCCCUUAGUGACCGUGGACAGGCCAGAGUUGCCUGGCAGGCCUGUAGCCUGAGUGGGACAUUUAAUGCGCGUGGCUUUUUGCCAUGAUGGUGAGUGGCCUCUUCCUUAUUUGGGUUACUUUCUGGAUGCCCCAUCCCCUCAAGCCAGGUCAGGCCCCGGCACCCUCCUCGCUUCGCACUGUAACUUCGCUUCUCGCGCGUGGUGUUUAACGCAGCCCAACUGAAACAGGGACUUGAGUACUUAGCUAUUAAUUGCCUGGGAACUCCACGAGGGCAGGAAUCAGGUCUGCUUUUAUCCCUGCUGUGUCCCUGGCAUCCCCCAGCACAGGGCCUGGCACACAGUAGGUGCUCAGUAACAGGAAUGAGUGAAUGAAUGAAUGAAUGAAUGCCAAGGUCAGUAUCUGGGCGUCUAUCAUGAGGGCACCAGGAAACCACAAAAUGUUUUAGGCAGAACUGGACCCGUUCUUCUCUAAUGUGCACAUAAAUCCCUUGGGAUCUUGUUAAAAUGCAGAUUCCUAGUCAGCGGAUCCAGGGAGGACCUGAGAGUCUGCAUCCCUAACGAGCUCCCAAAGCUGCCAGGGCUUUGAGCAACGUGGGGCUCGCCGUGCUGUUCAGCACAGCAGCCGCCAGCCACGUGCGGCUGUCAAGGAUUUGAAAUGUGGCUACCGUGAGCUGCCACGUACUUUAAGUGUAAAAUACCGACCAGAUUUCAAAGACUUAGUACAGAAAAGAGAAUGUAAAAUAUCUCAGUAAUAGUUUUUAUAUCGAUCACAUGUUAAUAUGGUAAUAUUUUGGAUAUAUCAGGUUAAAUAAAAUAUAUUAUUAAAAUUAAUUUUACCUGUUUUUUUGUUUCAUGUGGCUACCAGAAAAUUUUAAAUUACAUUUGAAGCCCUCCUUGAUCACCCAGGGUGGGUCAGGUGUCAGUUCUGGGCUUCUGCUCUUUGAGCUUCCCCCUCCCAGCCCUGACCUCUGUGACAUCAGCACUUAAAUGUCCAUCUCCCUCUUAGAUAAAUCCCUGAGAAUGGGGUCAAAGUCUGUUCUGGUCCCCACUUUAUCUCCAGAACCUGGCACAGAGUCAGCAAAUAUCUGCUACUAAAUUUCGAAAUGACAGGUCAGCUGGGAAUCAUGCUCGUUUUCAUCUCUCCAACUGGACCCCCCAGCCAACUCCCAAGGCCUUGGUUUGGUUUGGUUUUGCUUUUACGGCCCUGCCCACAGCAUAUGGAAGUUCCUGGGCCAGGAACUGAAUCCAGGCUGCAGCUGCGACCAACACCACAGCUGCGACCCUGCCAGGUCCUUUAACCCACUGCCCUCGGCCAGGGCCUGAACCCUCACCUCCACAGUGACCCAAGCCGCGGCAGUCAGGUUCUUAACCCACUGCGCCACAACAGGACCUCCUCCAGGUCUUGCUUUUGAUGUCCCCUGACACCAGCGCGGUGUGUCCAACUGCCUUAACUUUUAAAGGGGCCACAGCAGACAUGCUGUGAAUCUCAACAGUCUCGGUCAUGUCCUUCUGCUUCUGUCCCUGAGCCACCUCAGACAGACCUCUUCUCCUGGGAGUUGUCCUCUGCUGGUGGCACAUUUCUGAGGGAGCACGUCUCUUCCCCUUAUUAAUGUUUAUCAGCUUUGCUGGAACAACACAAAUUUGGUAGACUUUUCUCAGUCUCUCCCUUUUUUCUUUUCCUUUUUAAGUUGCAUCGAAACAUUGCUUUUAAGAAACAAUAAUGAAGCAAUAGUCUGAUGGUCUUUUCCUUUCAGAUUCUUCUAUGGCUUUAAUAGUUUUGUAGUUAAACUUGAUAUGAAAAGAGGCUCAACCUCAUCAGUAGUCAAGGAAAGACAAACGAAGACCACACUGUGGUCAGCUGGCUCUCACUCCAGCUUGCUCGUCCACAUGCCUCCACUGCGCUCUCUCUGCUUUCAGCAGAAUCAACGCCUUGGUUCCCGCACGCUCUCCCUUCUUCCUCCCCAUCCUGGCUGCUGUCCCUGCCACCCAUUGUAGAGACUCAAUCAGUCACUUCCCUAAAUCCCCUUUCUCCCCUGUCUUUUGGCCCCACCCAUCCAACUCAAAGCCAGCCCUUCCCUAU
rnacentral:lncRNA from 1 species